GACGAACGCUGGCGGCGUGCUUAACACAUGCAAGUCGAACGGUAAGGCCCUUCGGGGUACACGAGUGGCGAACGGGUGAGUAACACGUGGGUGAUCUGCCCUGCACUUCGGGAUAAGCCUGGGAAACUGGGUCUAAUACCGGAUAGGACUCCGGACUGCAUGGUCUGGGGUGGAAAGCUUUUGCGGUGUGGGAUGGGCCCGCGGCCUAUCAGCUUGUUGGUGGGGUGAUGGCCUACCAAGGCGACGACGGGUAGCCGGCCUGAGAGGGUGACCGGCCACACUGGGACUGAGAUACGGCCCAGACUCCUACGGGAGGCAGCAGUGGGGAAUAUUGCACAAUGGGCGCAAGCCUGAUGCAGCGACGCCGCGUGAGGGAUGACGGCCUUCGGGUUGUAAACCUCUUUCAGCAUCGACGAAGCGAAAGUGACGGUAGGUGCAGAAUAAGCACCGGCUAACUACGUGCCAGCCGCCGCGGUAA
rnacentral:rRNA from 1 species